UAUGUUUAUGAUAAUUUAUUCAAACCAAUCAGUUUUCCGUACAAACGCAGCGUUAUAUUGUUUUCAGGCUGGCAGCUUUUUGUUGCCAGAGUGAGCUUUGACCGUUUCGGCAGGCUGGUACUGAUUGCUCACAUCCCGUGAGCGAAAGGUUUUAGAUUUCAAAGGAUGGAAAAAGGGUUUUAAAACCCAGAGGAUGUGAACUCUGUCCCAAACUCACUAUUACUUCUACUGCCUUCAUCUCCCUUAGAGAGAGAGAGAGAGAGAGAGAGAGAGAGAGAGAGAGGAGAGGGAGAUGGAGGGUUGGAUCUCGCUGCCAAAAAUCGAGCUCCACGCUCACCUCAAUGGCUCCAUUAGAAAUUCCACGUUGCUUGAACUUGCUAGAGUUCUGGGUGAUGAGGGUGUCCUAGUUUCUGCAGAUGUGGAGCAUGUAAUCAUGAAGGAUGACCGAUCUUUGCCCGAGUGCUUCAAGUUGUUUGAUCUCAUCCAUGUAGUUACAACUGAUCAUGAAACUGUCACAAGAAUCACUAAAGAAGUUGUUGAAGACUUUGCUGCUGAGAACACUGUGUAUCUAGAGCUAAGGACAACACCGAAGAAGAAUGAAUCCAAAGGGAUGAGCAAACGCUCUUACAUGGAAGCUGUGAUAAAUGGUCUGAGGGGCAUUGAUGCAGUUGAUGUUGUUUUUACUCCUGCUUGUGGAAGAACAGAAAUCUCCAUCUCUUCACCUAUCAAUGAUUCUUGUAAUGGCCUAACAAGAAGAAAGAUAUACGUUCGCCUUCUUCUCAGCAUUGAUCGUCGUGAAACCACUGCAGCAGCAAUGGAAACUGUUCAACUAGCACUGGAAAUGAGGGAUCUGGGGGUAGUUGGUAUUGAUCUUUCUGGCAAUCCUGUUGUGGGGGAAUGGGAAACAUUCUUGCCAGCAUUAAAAUUUGCCAGGGAACAAGGCCUUUCUGUUACACUUCAUUGUGGUGAGGUGCCCAAUCAGAAGGAAAUCCAAGCAAUGCUGGAUUUUCUUCCCCAGAGAAUUGGCCAUGCCUGUUGCCUUGAAGAGGAGGACUGGAGAAAGCUGAAAUCAUCCAAAAUUCCGGUUGAGAUUUGUUUGACAUCCAACAUCAGAACUGAAACCAUCGGUUCCAUUGACAUUCAUCAUUUUGAUCUCUACAAUGCGAAGCACCCAUUAGUUUUGUGCACUGAUGACACUGGGGUUUUCUCAACCAGUCUUUCCCGUGAGUACAGCAUUGCGGCAGCUUCAUUUGGUCCUUGAAGAUUGGAGAACUUACGCCCACAGUCCAUAAUGGGACUCGAUGAGUUUUGUAAUUUGACAAACAUACGCUUUCUUUGUGAGAGAGUCUUCAAAUCGGCAGAAAAUCAUGGGUGUAAUGAGGAUUCAGCGCUGUGGAAACUAGAAUAUAACAUUCCGUUCCAACUGCAAGCCCAGUGGCCUGAUUUUGGCCUUCUUGCGUUAGUAGGACCUUCUCCAAAUCAAUACCGGGUUUCCCCUUUGUCCUAAUCUUAUUCCCCGACCCAUCUAUUGGGCUCUCUAUUGGGUCUUGAGCUGCCUUCUGGUGGACAUCUUACACAUGGGAAGAAGAUCUCUGUGACUUUGAUCUACUUUGAGAGCUUUCUGUAUAAGGUGAAUUGGACUGGGUUAUUGUGAUAAACAUCAAAUUUGCAGGUAGGUCUGGUGCUCUGCAACAUGGCUCACAUAAGUGACUUCGUAGUUUCCCAUGUACCGUUCUUAUUGUAGAAAAAUGCUUAAUUUGUCUUCUGGGAUCUGGAUUCUGAUUUGUUCUCUUGCUCUUGUCCAUUAUUGUUGAGUUCUUCCUCCACUCUGAUCUUCACCUUCAAGGCCUCAACCCAUUCAUAGAGUCUUUUUCUAAAUCUAUACUGUGGUCUGUCCUUCCUUACUCUGUUCUCUGUUUCCUAAACAUUUAAAGGAUUCCUUUCAGAACCCACAUGAGUGGUUCUUCCUUUACUCUGAAUUGUCUCUUAACUCAUUGACGGUGUUCUUCUAAAAACCCAUCGCAGGCUCUUCCGUCUUCACGUCAACCUUUGGGCACAACACUUUGAUUGGGUCAGCACUUAGAUUUGAGUGAGGGUACCUUCCUCUCUCCCUAGCUCGUUUGAUGUCUUUGGUCAUGAUUUCCAACUGAUUCAACAAUUCUCUCACAGAGGAAAGAUGAGAAGGAAGCUAAUGAUGAGAAGGAAGUGAAGGAGGCUUUGCAUGCAUGGAUACCUCAGCUAUUUCAUUAAAGGCAUUGCCUGCACAAGAUGUGAGAGGUCUUAAUGGUAAUGGGAUGGAAAGGAGGCAAUUCAAUACAGAGAAAACAUCACUCUCAAGGGUUUUCCUUGCCAGGUGCUUAAAACAUCUCACUUUGAAUGGAGCUGUACAUAGUUUAAUUCAGAAAUUGGAUUGGCCCGACCGGUUUAAUCAACAUGAGCUAGAACCGGACACCUUGUUUGAUCAAUUACUUGGUUUUAUGCAUUGAUAAUCGGUCAAACCAGCUAAGAACAUGGGCCAGUUAGCAACUUUUUUUUUCCUUUUCUUGAGAAAAUAGCGAAGAUUUAUUGGUUGAAUUGUUGGUUAUGACUCGGUUCAACCCAAUUUUUUCUUUAUAUAAACCAAACCAAAGAGCAUGAAAUGGAUUGGAUAAGUAGUGAGGUCUAACCAAAA